rnacentral:sRNA from 1 species
CAACAAGCGAAAGGAGGUGGUCGAAUGUCUCAUUGUCCCAUGCCGCACGCGGCGGACUCACUGAGCAUGGCCUCCGUCGCGGGGGUCGUGCUCGGCUGAGUUUUCCCGCGUCAGGCAAAGACAAUGGAAGGGCCGUCCGCAAGGGCGGCCCU